rnacentral:rRNA from 1 species
UACGAAGGGGGCUAGCGUUGCUCGGAAUUACUGGGCGUAAAGGGCGCGUAGGCGGACAGUUUAGUCAGAGGUGAAAGCCCAGGGCUCAACCUUGGAAUUGCCUUUGAUACUGGCUGUCUUGAGUUCGGGAGAGGUGAGUGGAAUGCCGAGUGUAGAGGUGAAAUGCGUAGAUAUCGGGAGGAACACCUGAGGCGAAGGCGGGCUACUGGGCCGAUACUGACGCUGAUGCGCGAAAGCCAGGGGAGCAAACGGG